CAAGCCACGAAAACACACGGAAGAACCUUAAAUGCAUAUGACCAAGUGAAAGGAGCCGGUCUGAAAAGGCCACACACGCCACAGGAUUCCAACUCCGUGACAUUCUGGAAAAGGCAGAAGUACAGAGAAGCGUGCAGGCCCGAGAGUGAACCCCAGUGUAAACCGUGCACUUUGGCUGAUACUGAUGUGUCGAUGCGGGUUCAUUGAUGAAAAGAAAAUCCUGUGUCAGAUCUUCAGCCAUCCUCAGCUGGCCCACAAGACCCCAUCCUGUUUGGUGCUCCGAGUCAAAAGGUGGUCCACCUGGACCUGCUGCAAGCCACAGGAGGCUCAGAGGAGCUGUGACUCUUGAUCUUGGGGUUAAGGGUUCAAGCCCCACCUACGGUGUAGCGAUUACUUGAAUAAAUGA